rnacentral:rRNA from 1 species
UACGUAGGGUGCAAGCGUUAAUCGGAAUUACUGGGCGUAAAGCGUGCGCAGGCGGUCUGCUAAGAGAGGUGUGAAAUCCCCUGGCUCAACUGGGGAACUGCGCCGGAAACUGGCAGACUAGAGUACCGGAGAGGAGGGUGGAAUUCCUGGUGUAGCGGUGAAAUGCGUAGAUAUCAGGAGGAACACCGGUGGCGAAGGCGGCCCUCUGGACGGAUACUGACGCUGAGGCGCGAAAGCGUGGGGAUCAAACAGG